CUUGACUGAUCCGAGCCAUACCGGUUGCUCCGGCGCCCGCCCCUGCCCGUAGGUGGCCAGAAUCGCCUCGGCUU
rnacentral:antisense_RNA from 18 species